CGAGCGAGAAAGUCUCUUCGGAGGCGAGUAGAGCGGCGAACGGGUGAGUAACACGUAAGUAACCUGCCCCUAAAUUCGGGACAACCUUUCUAACGGAAGGCUAAUACCGGAUGUGGUCCUAAUGCUGCAUGGUAUAAGGAUUAAAGAUGACCUCUUCUUGAAAGUUAUUGUUUAGGGAUGGACUUGCGGGUCAUUAGCUUGUUGGUAAGGUAACGGCUUACCAAGGCUUUGAUGACUAGCCGACCUGAGAGGGUGAUCGGCCACAUUGGGACUGAGAUACGGCCCAGACUCCUACGGGAGGCAGCAGUAGGGAAUAUUGCGCAAUGGACGAAAGUCUGACGCAGCAACUCCGCGUGAGGGAUGACGGUUUUCGGAUUGUAAACCUCUGUUAAGUGGGAAGAAUAGGGUAUGUUUUAAUCGGCAUAUCUGUGACGGUACCACUUCAGAAAGCACCGGCUAACUACGUGCCAGCAGCCGCGGUAAUACGUAGGGUGCAAGCGUUGUUCGGAAUCACUGGGCGUAAAGCGAACGUAGGUGGGAAAGUAAGUUAGGAGUGAAAAUUAUCGGCUCAACCGGUAACCUGCUUUUAAAACUGCUUUUCUUGAGUAUGGAAGAGGAAGAUGGAAUUCCAGGUGUAGCGGUGGAAUGCGUAGAUAUCUGGAAGAACACCAGUUGCGAAGGCGGUCUUCUGGUCCAAUACUGACACUGAGGUUCGAAAGCUAGGAUAGUCAACAGGAUUAGAUACCCUGGUAUCCCUAGCCGUAAACGAUGGAUACUAGUUGUUGGGAGAUUUAUUUUUUCAGUGACGCAGUUAACGCGAUAAGUAUCCCGCCUGGGGAGUACGCUCGCAAGAGUAAAACUCAAAGGAAUUGACGGGGGCCCGCACAAGCGGUGGAGCAUGUGCUUUAAUUCGAUGCAACGCGAAGAACCUUACCUGGUCUUGACAUGUGAAUGCAAUUUUCUAGAGAUAGAGAAGUUUCCUUCGGGAACAUUCAACACAGGUGCUGCAUGGUUGUCGUCAGCUCGUGUCGUGAGAUGUUGGGUUAAGUCCUUCAACGAGCGCAACCCUUAUCCUUAGUUGCCAUCAGGUAGUGCUGGGAACUCUAGGGAGACUGCCUGGAUUAACCAGGAGGAAGGUGGGGAUGACGUCAAAUCAUCAUGGCCCUUACGACCAGGGCUAGACACGUGCUACAAUGGACGGUACAAAGGGUAGCGAGACUGCGAAGUUAAGCCAAUCCCACAAAACCGUUCUCAGUUCGGAUAGGAGUCUGCAAUUCGACUCCUUGAAGUUGGAAUCGCUAGUAAUCGUGGAUCAGCAUGCCACGGUGAUCCGUUCCCGGGCAUUGUACACGCCGCCCGUCAAGCCAUGAAAGACGGUAGUACCCAAAGUCA
rnacentral:rRNA from 1 species